GCUGGUGUAAAUGAUGACUUCACUUUUUUCCCCAUCAGAUCGACAAUGCUGAUCUUUUUUUUUUAACACCUGCCAGUUAAUUCUGACACACCAGC
ensembl:snoRNA